rnacentral:rRNA from 1 species
CGGACGGGUGAGUAAUGUCUGGGAAACUGCCUGACGGAGGGGGAUAACUACUGGAAACGGUAGCUAAUACCGCAUAACGUCGCAAGACCAAAGAGGGGGACCUUAGGGCCUCUUGCCAUCGGAUGUGCCCAGAUGGGAUUAGCUAGUAGGUGGGGUAACGGCUCACCUAGGCGACGAUCCCUAGCUGGUCUGAGAGGAUGAUCAGCCACACUGGGACUGAGACACGGCCCAG